GCAGGUUUCAUACAUGCAAGUCGAACGGGCUAUCACCCUUCGGGCGAUAUGCUAGUGGCGGACGGGUGAGUAACGCGUAGGAAUCAACCUGGUUGAGGGGAAUAACAUCAGGAGACUGGUGCUAAUACCGCAUAAGACCUAAGGGUGAAAGCGGGGGAUCUUCGGACCUCGCGCGACCAGAGGAGCCUGCGUGUGGAUUAGCUUGUUGGUGAGGUAAUGGCUCACCAAGGCGACGAUCCAUAGCUGGUCUGAGAGGACGAUCAGCCACACUGGAACUGAGACACGGUCCAGACUUCUAAGGAAGGCAGCAGUAGAGAAUAUUGCACAAUGGGGGAAACCAGAUGCAGGCAUGCCGCGUGUGUGAAGACAGCCCUAGGGUUGUAAAGCACUUUCGGUGGUGAAGAAAGCCGGCGCGCUAAUACCGCGAUCCGGGUAGACGUUAACCGCUAAAGAAGCACCGGCUAACUCCGUGCCAGCAGCCGCGGUAAGACGGAGGGUGCGAUCGUUAAUCGGAAUUACUGGGCGUAAAGCGCACGUAGGCGGAUGGUCAAGUGGGAUGUGAAAGCCCUAGGUCAACCUGGGAAUUGCAUUCCAAACUGACGAUCUAGAGUGUAGUAGAGGAAAGUGGAAUUUGCUGUGUAGCGGUGAAAUGCGUAGAUAUGGCAAGGAACAUCAGUGGCGGAGGCGGCUUUCUGGACUAACACUGACGCUCAGGUGCGAAAGCGUGGGUAGCGAACAGGAUUAAAUACCCUGGUAGUCCACGCCGUAAACAAUGAAAACUAACCGUGGAUCU
rnacentral:rRNA from 1 species